CCGGUCUGAAAAUGACCGCAGGUACUGACCGUGUUCUGGGGUCAGAUAACCGGGCCGACAGGAUUCUGGUACAUUAAGCUCACGGCCUGCUCUGUCCGUCAGCAGACUGAUGAAACCCAUGUACCGACACGC
ensembl:snoRNA